rnacentral:tRNA from 1 species
GCCGGUGUAGCUCAGUUGGUAGAGCAGCUGACUUGUAAUCAGCAGGUCGGAGGUCCGAGUCCUCUCGCCGGCUCCA